rnacentral:lncRNA from 1 species
UUUUCUGAAGCACUUUGAGAUAGAAGAAUGUCUCCCCAGGGGUAUCUGCAGAGUCUAAACUUAUCAAAAGACUGACAGAUGAAAUAUCCAGGGAGCUUGUACAAAUCAAUGAGCAGAAGAUGAACCCCUCAGCAUAUAUGUGUGAGAAUGCUUACUGCAGUGUUGUAUCUUGGAGAUGUGUGCUUCAAUGCAACCUGGGUACCCACCAAUGGGAGAGUGGAGUGGUUAAAAAGUGUUAUUGGAAAACUGUCCAGCAUUGUGCCAUACUUAGGAACAAAAGAGUGGAUUUAAAAAUAGAAACAGAGUGCAUGUGUAAAAGACUAACAUGGACUGCAAGUGAUGUGUAAAGAUUAUCAUCAAGAAGUGCAGUGUAAUUUUCUAUCCUUGUGAUGUAAGCUUGCCUCAAGGUGUGCUUUGGCCAAUGGAAUAUGGCAGAAGAGUCAUUGGACCACUUCUGGGCGUAGGCUUCAAGAACCCUUGCCACUUCAGUUUGUUCCCUGUUAGAAUGUCUAAACCCUGAGGAGGUGGGGGAAGAGGCGGGGGAAACCCUGUAUUUACGCUCUAGAGGUUGAGAAGCCACAUGGAGAGAGAGACCUGGCCAGCAUCAACUUCACAACAGAGCUACCGGAUGACUACAACCAUAUGAGUGACCCAAGCUAAUCCAGGUAGAAGAACCAGUAUGCCAAGCACAGCUCAAAGUGUAACUCCAGAUUCAGAGCAAAUAAAAUGGCUAUCACAGCCACUAUGUUUUUGGGUAUCGGAUAUGCAGCAAUAGAUGACUGAUCACACACACACACAAACACACACACACAAACUUGAAAUCCUUCUGUGCGUACACAUUGAGCAUUAUCACAGGACGGGGAGAUUAUUAC